ACAAAAAGGAUUUAUAUCCUCAUCCCAGAUUUUUGCUUGGAAAAAUAGAGUAGUUGAGACAGAAGGGAAACUACACGAGUGAGAAAGAAGCACACCUGGUGUGUCUGUGUUUGUGAACUGUAGAGUGUGGCUGUGGGAAUGAGAGCAAAAGUCAAAAUGGUUCUCAGUUUUCACCGAUUGGGAUCUUCUGUGAACAAUACAUGUAUCAGCAGUGUAACAUAUUAUUUUAAAGGUCCAUUUUUACACAUCAGAAUGAAUUGUAUAUGCUAGGAUUUUUGAUGCAUUAUAUUGGUUGAUUCACAGGUUGCACACCUACUCGUAGAUUAUACUCUGUCUGUCUGUGUGUGUGUGUGUUACUUUUUUUACUUUCAUGCUAAUUUUUGAAUCAAUCAGGAACUUGCUGUUGCACACUCUCUAGUCUCCGAGCAAAUUAAUGCUCCCGGUGGAUUGUCUCGGCAGUCAUCACAUAUAUCAUAUUUCCCAUUUGCUAAAAUGGUGUAGAUCACAUAGCUCUAGGCAUGUUUAAUGAGGGGUCUUCAAACAUUUUCUGCAGGUUGGGGGGUCUUCAGAUCACAUAAGUCAAAAUGGUUCUCAGCUUUCUGAACAUAUAUGCAGCAGAGCAUGAACAUGUACAGGGAGAGGUGGUCGGGCAGCAAAGAGGGCAUCACCUUCGCAAAAUCGGAAGAGGUGGUCGGGGAGGCAGAGAAUCGACACAGCCGCCGGGUUCUUCGGCGGAAGACAGCGAGCAGGACCGGGAUGACUUGUCGGGGACGGAGGAGCCGGUCGGUGAUGGCGGCAGACGAGGGCGAGGAUGUGUUGUCGGGGACGGAGGAGACGGUCCACGACGGCGGCGGACGAAGGCGAGCAGGGCGGGGAUGGCUUCACAGCAUGGACGAGCGGCGGCUGCCGACGCUGAAGGUGCAGUCCGCCAUGGCUGCUGCGUGUGGCGGCUAUGGUUGGGGGAGGGGGCGGNNN
rnacentral:lncRNA from 1 species